AAUCCAUUGUUACAUUAUUAGACGGAAAGACCCCAAGAGCUUUUUUGUGUUAGAUUUGUUUGGGGUAAAUGUAGAUUAUUCAUUUAUUUUUAGAUCCUUCGUGGAUAAAGGAUAAAGUUACCUUGGGGAUAACUGAGUAAAGGGCAGGGAGAGGUCCUAUCGAUCUGUUUAUUACUACCUCGAUGUUGGCUUGUUGAACCUUUUCGGUGUAGAGGCUGGAAAAGGAAGUCUGUUCGACUUUUAAAUCUUCAUGAGUUGAGUUAAGACCGGUGUAAGCCAGGUUGGUUCUUAUCUAUAAUUGGUUCUAAUUAGUACGAAAGGAUUAUUAGGAUACAGUGUUUCUGUACACAUAGGAAUAGAAAGUAUACA
rnacentral:rRNA from 1 species